GACGGCCACACUGGGACUGAGAGACGGAGAGAACGGCAGGAGGCAGCAGUGGGGAAUAUUGGGCAAUGGAGGAAAAUCUGACCCAGCGACGCCGCGUGCGGGAUGAAGGCCUUCGGGUUGUAAACCGCUUUCAGUAGGGAAGAAGCGAAAGUGACGGUACCUACAAAAGAAGCACCGGCUAACUAUGUGCCAGCAGCCGCGGUAAUACAUAGGGUGCAAGCGUUGUCCGGAAUUAUUGGGCGUAAAGAGCUCGUAGGUCGUUUGUUACGUCGGAUGUGAAAACCUGAGGCUCAACCUCAGGCCUGCAUUCGAUACGGGCAAACUAGAGUUUGGUAGGGGAGACUGGAAUUCCU
rnacentral:rRNA from 1 species